rnacentral:rRNA from 1 species
UCAUGUAAGAAUGUGACGCUUCAAGCCCGAUCCCGUCUAAUCUCAGAAGCUAAGCAGGGUCAGACCUGGUUAGUACUUGAAUGGAAGACCACCUAGGAAGACCAGGUUCUGUAGGCA